GACGAACGCUGGCGGCGUGCUUAACACAUGCAAGUCGAACGGUGAAGCGCUUGCCUUUUUGGUGGGUGUGGAUGAGUGGCGAACGGGUGAGUAACACGUGAGUAACCUGCCCUCUUCUUCUGGAUAACCUCAUGAAAGUGGGGCUAAUACGGGGUAUUCCGGGUCUGUCGCAUGGCGGGUUUGGGAAAGAUUGCGCCUUUGGGUGUUUUCGGUGGGGGAUGGGCUCGCGGCCUAUCAGCUUGUUGGUGGGGUGAUGGCCUACCAAGGCGGUGACGGGUAGCCGGCCUGAGAGGGUGGACGGCCACACUGGGACGGAGACACGGCCCAGACUCCUGCGGGAGGCAGCAGUGGGGAAUAUUGCACAAUGGGCGCAAGCCUGAUGCAGCGACGCCGCGUGAGGGAUGGAGGCCUUCGGGUUGUGAACCUCUUUCGCCAGUGAAGCAGGCCUGCUCCUGUGUGGGUGGGUUGACGGUAGCUGGAUAAGAAGCGCCGGCUAACUACGU
rnacentral:rRNA from 1 species